CAGCCUUCCAAGCUGAUGACGGGGGUUCGAUUCCCCUCACCCGCU
rnacentral:tRNA from 1 species